UACGAAGGGUGCAAGCGUUAAUCGGAAUUACUGGGCGUAAAGCGCGCGUAGGUGGUUCGUUAAGUUGGAUGUGAAUGCCCCGGGCUCAACCUGGGAACUGCAUCCAAAACUGGCGAGCUAGAGUACGGUAGAGGGUGGUGGAAUUUCCUGUGUAGCGGUGAAAUGCGUAGAUAUAGGAAGGAACACCUUUGGCUAAGGCGACCACCUGGACUGAUACUGACACUGAGGUGCGAAAGCGUGGGGUGCAAACA
rnacentral:rRNA from 1 species